rnacentral:rRNA from 1 species
UACGAAGGGGGCUAGCGUUGUUCGGAAUCACUGGGCGUAAAGCGCACGUAGGCGGAUUUUUAAGUCAGGGGUGAAAUCCCAGAGCUCAACCCCGGAACGGCCUUUGAUACUGGGUGUCUUGAGUUCGGAAGAGGUGAGUGGAAUUGCGAGUGUAGAGGUGAAAUUCGUAGAUAUUCGCAGGAACACCAGUGGCGAAGGCGGCUCACUGGUCCGAUACUGACGCUGAGGUGCGAAAGCGUGGGGAGCAAACAGG